AAAAUAUUGAUUUUCUCAUUUAUUGGAAUGCUGUGCAGGUUGUACCUUGCAGCCAUCCAUUACAAUGUCACCAAGCCGUAACAAAAGCAGGAGAGGGAAAGUACAAGGCUAUGUUCCCAAAACACACAAGUGACAUACUGUAUUUGAAGAUAAGCUGAAGGAAACCCCGAUUCCAAUGGACCUGGCAUCACAGUUUGAGAGACCUUCAAAGGAGGACGUGAUUGCAUGCCAUCUUCAGUGCAGGGGUCGUCGGAAGCCAACAUUCCGAUCAGGAAGCUCCAAGCAUAUCUGGAGAACAACAUA